CCUGGCUCAGAUUGAACGCUGGCGGCAGGCUUAACACAUGCAAGUCGAACGGUAGCAGGUAAGUACUUGUACUUAUGCUGACGAGUGGCGGACGGGUGAGUAAUGCUUGGGGAUCUGGCUUAUGGAGGGGGAUAACGACGGGAAACUGUCGCUAAUACCGCGUAGAAUCGAGAGAUGAAAGUGUGGGACCUUCGGGCCACAUGCCAUAGGAUGAACCCAAGUGGGAUUAGGUAGUUGGUAGGGUAAUGGCCUACCAAGCCGACGAUCCCUAGCUGGUCAUCCUCUCAGACCAGCCACACCGGGACUGAGACACGGCCCGGACUCCUACGG
rnacentral:rRNA from 1 species